GAUGAAGAACGCAGCAAAAUGCGAUAAGUAAUGUGAAUUGCAGAAUUCAGUGAAUCAUCGAAUCUUUGAACGCACAUUGCGCCCAUUAGUAUUCUAGUGGGCAUGCCUGUUCGAGCGUCAUUAAGUCCACUUAAGCCCUGCUUAGUGUUGGGAGACUGCUCCAGCGGUGCUACCCUGUAGCUACCCUGCAGCUCCUCAAAGACAGCGGCGGAGUUGUGGUAUCCUCUGAGCUUAGUAACUUGUUCUAGCUUUCGAGUACACCACUUCCCCUGCCGAAAAACCCUUAAUUUUUAAUGGUUGACCUCGGAUCAGGUAGGAAUACCCGCUGAACUUAAGCAUAUCAAUAAGCGGAGGA
rnacentral:misc_RNA from 1 species